ensembl:lncRNA
AUGAGAGAUCCUCCAAUGGCUGUUUGUAACCCUGAAAACAUUGGUGCUGCAGUCUGGAUUGCCCUGAAGAGGCUUGAUCUCAAUGACAGCAGGAUCACAGCUCUCCGGGAGGUUCAUAUUCCCAGUGGAGCCCGAGGGACCAGCGUAAGACAAAUACUAGCUCAGUCUUUCAGGCUUGACACUUCUCAGAGGACACUUAAGAUACGAAACAAUCGAGGAUGCCUUAUUCCCUUAAAUCCCUGCAUGCCACCAAACAGCAAGCAAAUGCCGUACGUCCUUGAAGUGGCCAAAAACCACCAGCAUGUCAAUCCAAGUCCCAGAAGUAUUCCUGUGCCUGUUAUUAAUAAAUCCCUAAGGUCCAGACUACAGAGCAUUGUGAAAAGGAUUGAAAGAUUAGAAGAACUGUUGCCUCAAAUCAAACUGAAACACCAUGAAAGGUCGACAAAGGAUAUCGAGUUACUGAAUCAAAAGCUGGUAUUUCUUCACAAACGAAUGCAGGUAAACGUAUUCCUCAAUUGUAGCUAUGCAAUCUAUUUCACAUAUAAGAGAAUGUCCUGUGAUUAUAAUGUGUCAUGA